rnacentral:miRNA from 1 species
CAGCAGACACAUUCCAGCCAAUCAGCAACAGACCCUCCCUCCCAGAUCCUCCCACCUCCUGGACAGCAUCCAUUUUACAUUCAUUGUGAAGCUGCAUUCUUAGUGAGCUGUCCAGGAGGUGGGAGGGCCUGGGAGGGAGGGUCUGCUGCUGAUUGGCUGGAAUGUGUCUGCUG